rnacentral:rRNA from 1 species
UGGGGAAUAUUGCGCAAUGGACGAAAGUCUGACGCAGCGACGCCGCGUGUGGGAUGACGGUCUUCGGAUUGUAAACCACUGUCGGGAGGGACGAAUACGCCGCAAGGCGGGUGACGGUACCUCCAAAGGAAGCACCGGCUAACUCCGUGCCAGCAGCCGCGGUAAUACGGAGGGUGCGAGCGUUGUCCGGAAUCACUGGGCGUAAAGGGCGCGUAGGCGGCCUGAUAAGUAGGGGGUGAAAUCUUGCGGCUUAACCGCAAGGCUGCCUUCUAAACUGUCGGGCUCGAGCACAGUAGAGGCAGGUGGAAUUCCCGGUGUAGCGGUGGAAUGCGUAGAGAUCGGGAAGAACAUCAGUGGCGAAGGCGGCCUGCUGGGCUGUUGCUGACGCUGGGGCGCGACAGCGUGGGGAGCAAACAGG